UACGUAGGCAGCGAGCGUUGUUCGGAGUUACUGGGCGUAAAGGGUGUGUAGGCGGUUCUCUAAGUUUGGUGUGAAAUCUCCCGGCUCAACCGGGAGGGUGCGCCGAAAACAGGGGGACUCGAGUGCGGGAUGGGAGAGUAGAAUUCCUGGUGUAGCGGUGAAAUGCGUAGAUAUCAGGAGGAAUACCGGGGGUGUAGACGGCUCUCUGGACCGCCACUGACGCUGAGACACGAAAGCGUGGGUAGCAAACAGG
rnacentral:rRNA from 1 species